AUGAACACAUCAACCAAUAAGAGGGACUAUGCUGGGGGGAUUUCCAAGAAUGGAUUUCUUUUUUGUAAAUGAAGAAGUAAAUAGACAUUAAGAACAGAUCUCUUUUUCCUUUUGGAGGUAGUCAUGUCUGCGUGUGAUGCUGAGCAUGGCUGAAGAAUCCUGAGAUCAUGAGACAGUGAGUAAGAUCCACAGAGCACAGCAAAGCAGAGAUGGGAAAGUAUGGGCCCUCAGGUCAGUCAAACCGCUGGAACAAUGGACUUCUCAUAAUGUGGUGGGAAAGGAGGUGAGGAGAUUGAAAGCACCCGUGCAAUUCCUCAGGGAAAGGAAUGUCUCCCAUUCGACUGACAUCAAGUAAACUAUUGAACCGGAAACACUUACUUUACUUAGAAGACUCCUCUGGAGGAUCUCUGGGCUGAUCCGAGUGUCACCAGUAAAAGGA